AGAGGGGGCAAGCGUUAUUCGGAAUUAUUGGGCGUAAAGGGCGCGUAGGCGGCUUCGCAAGUGGAUGGUGAAAUCCCUCGGCUUAACCGAGGAACUGCCAUCCAAACUGCGUUGCUUGAGGCCGGGAGAGGCGAGUGGAAUUCCCAGUGUAGCGGUGAAAUGCGUAGAUAUUGGGAGGAACACCAGUGGCGAAGGCGGCUCGCUGGACCGGUUCUGACGCUGAUGCGCGAAAGCGUGGGGAGCAAACGGGAUUAGAUACCCCGGUAGUCCACGCUGUAAACGAUGAGUGCUUGGUGUAGCGGGUAUCGACCCCUGCUGUGCCGAAGUCAACACAUUAAGCACUCCGCCUGGGGAGUACGGUCGCAAGGCUG
rnacentral:rRNA from 1 species